rnacentral:rRNA from 1 species
GAUGAACGCUGGCGGCGUGCCUAAUACAUGCAAGUCGAGCGAACAGACGAGGAGCUUGCUCCUCGGACGUUAGCGGCGGAGGGGUGAGUAACACGUGGAUAACCUACCUAUAAGACGGGGAUAACUUCGGGAAACCGGAGCUAAUACCGGAUAAUAUAUUGAACCGCAUGGUUGAAUAGAGAAAGACGGUUUUGGUGUCUGUUAUAGAUGGAUCCGCGCUGCAUUAGAUGGUUGGUAAGGUAAAGGCUUACGAAGGGAACGAGGCGUAGCCGACCUGAGAGGGGGAUCGGCCACACUGGAGCUGGGACACGGUCCAGACUCCUACGGGAGGCAGCAGUAGGGAAUCUUACGCAAUGGGCGAAAGUCUGACGGAGCAACGCCGAGUGAGUGAUGAAGGUCUUCGGAUCGUAAAACCCUGUUAUGAGGGAAGAACAAAUGUGUAAGUAAAUAUGCACGUCUUGACGGUACCUAAUAAGAAAGCCACGGCUAACUACGUG